AAUGAACGCUGGCGGCAGGCCUAACACAUGCAAGUCGAACGAAGCCUUCGGGCUUAGUGGCGGACGGGUGAGUAACGCGUGGGAACAUACCCUUUGGUACGGAAUAGCCUCGGGAAACUGGGAGUAAUACCGUAUGUGCCCUUCGGGGGAAAGAUUUAUCGCCAAAGGAUUGGCCCGCGUUGGAUUAGGUAGUUGGUGGGGUAAUGGCCUACCAAGCCGACGAUCCAUAGCUGGUUUGAGAGGAUGAUCAGCCACACUGGGACUGAGACACGGCCCAGACUCCUACGGGAGGCAGCAGUGGGGAAUCUUAGACAAUGGGCGCAAGCCUGAUCUAGCCAUGCCGCGUGAUCGAUGAAGGCCUUAGGGUUGUAAAGAUCUUUCAGAUGGGAAGAUAAUGACGGUACCAUCAGAAGAAGCCCCGGCUAACUCCGUGCCAGCAGCCGC
rnacentral:rRNA from 1 species